rnacentral:rRNA from 1 species
AUGAACGCUGGCGGCGUGCCUAAUACAUGCAAGUCGAGCGAACGGACGAGAAGCUUGCUUCUCUGAUGUUAGCGGCGGACGGGUGAGUAACACGUGGAUAACCUACCUAUAAGACUGGGAUAACUUCGGGAAACCGGAGCUAAUACCGGAUGAUAUUUUGAACCGCAUGGUUCAAAAGUGAAAGACGGUCUUGCUGACACUUAUAGAUGGAUCCGCGCUGCAUUAGCUAGUUGGUAAGGUAACGGCUUACCAAGGCAACGAUGCAUAGCCGACCUGAGAGGGUGAUCGGCCACACUGGAACUGAGACACGGUCCAGACUCCUACGGGAGGCAGCAGUAGGGAAUCUUCCGCAAAGGGCGAAAGCCUGACGGAGCAACGCCGCGUGAGUGAUGAAGGUCUUCGGAUCGUAAAACUCUGUUAUUAGGGAAGAACAUAUGUGUAAGUAACUGUGCACAUCUUGACGGUACCUAAUCAGAAAGCCACGGCUAACUACGUG